rnacentral:rRNA from 1 species
CAGUAGGGAAUCUUCCACAAUGGGCGAAAGCCUGAUGGAGCAACGCCGCGUGUGUGAUGAAGGGUUUCGGCUCGUAAAACUCUGUUGUUAAAGAAGAACAUAUCUGAGAGUAACUGUUCAGGUAUUGACGGUAUUUAACCAGAAAGCCACGGCUAACUACGUGCCAG